rnacentral:rRNA from 1 species
AGUGCCCUACGGGGGGCAGCAGUGAGGAAUAUUGGUCAAUGGGCGUAAGCCUGAACCAGCCAAGUCGCGUGAGGGACGACGGCCCUACGGGUUGUAAACCUCUUUUGCCGGGGAGCAAGGGCGGGGACGUGUCCCGGCCCGGAGAGUACCCGGAGAAAAAGCAUCGGCUAACUCCGUGCCAGCAGCCGCGGUAAUACGGAGGAUGCGAGCGUUAUCCGGAUUUAUUGGGUUUAAAGGGUGCGUAGGCGGGCUUUUAAGUCAGCGGUAAAAAUUCGGGGCUCAACCCCGUCCGGCCGUUGAAACUG